rnacentral:rRNA from 1 species
CCAAUAGCGUAUAUUAAAGUUGUUGCAGUUAAAAAGCUCGUAGUUGAAUUUCGGGGUCUAUCCGUUGGUCGGGCUUUUGGGUCCGUACUGGCGUUAUAGAUUCCUACCUUCUGAAUAACCGGCAUGCCAUUAAUUUGGUGCGCUGGGGAAGCAGGACUGUUACCUUGAAAAAAUUAGAGUGCUUAAAGCAGGCUAUCGCCUGAAUACAUUAGCAUGGAAUAAUGAAAUAGGACGGCAUGGUUCUAUUUUGUUGGUUUCUAGGAUCACCGUAAUGAUUAAUAGGGAUAGUUGGGGGCAUUAGUAUUCAAUUGUAAGAGGUGAAAUUCUUGGAUUUAUUGAAGACUAACUUCUGCGAAAGCAUUUGCCAAGGAUGUUUUCAUUAAUCAAGAACGAAAGUUAGGGGAUCGAAGACGAUCAGAUACCGUCGUAGUCUUAACCAUAAACUAUGCCGACUAGGGAUCGGACGAUGUUAAUUUUUUAAUGACCCGUUCGGCGCCUUACG